GGAGGGUUGGCAGAAUGGCAAUGCACCGCUCUUGAAAAGCGGCGGGCGAAAGCCCUUAGAGGUUCGAGUCCUCUACCCUCCG
rnacentral:tRNA from 1 species